rnacentral:rRNA from 1 species
UACGUAGGGGGCAAGCGUUGUCCGGAUUUAUUGGGCGUAAAGAGCGUGUAGGCGGCUAGGUAGGUCCGUUGUGAAAACUCGAGGCUCAACCUCGAGACGCCGAUGGAAACCAUCUAGCUAGAGUCCGGAAGAGGAGAGUGGAAUUCCUGGUGUAGCGGUGAAAUGCGCAGAUAUCGGGAGGAACACCGGUGGCGAAGGCGGUUCUCUGGGCCUGUUCUGACGCUGAGGAGCGAAAGCGUGGGGAGCGAACAGG